CCUACGGGUGGCAGCAGUGAGGAAUAUUGGUCAAUGGCCGGAAGGCUGAACCAGCUAAGCCGCGUGAAGGACGAAGGUGCCAAGCAUUGUAAACUUCUUUUGUCAAGGGACAAAAUCAGGCUCGAGAGCCUGACCGAGGGUACUUGAAGAACAAGCAUCGGCUAACUCCGUGCCAGCAGCCGCGGUAAGAGGGAGGAUGCGAGCGUUAUCCGGAUUUGUGGGGUUUAAAGGGUGCGUAGGCGGGCUGUUAAGUCAGCGGUAAAAGCCCGGGGCUCAACCCCGGCGAGCCGUUGAAACUGGCUGUCUUGAGAUGUCGAGAGGUAUGUGGAAUGCGCAGUGUAGCGGUGAAAUGCUUAGAGAUGGCGCAGAACUCCGAUGGCGAAGGCAGCACACCGGCGGAGAUCUGACGCUGAGGUACGAAAGCGUGGGUAUCGAACAGGAUUAGAUACCCUAGUAGUC
rnacentral:rRNA from 1 species